rfam:Eubacterium ruminantium strain ATCC 17233 genome assembly, contig: EI46DRAFT_scaffold00014.14
GUCAAUAACCCACGACUAAAGUCGCAGGCUUGUAAAAGCUUUUAUUGACUAGCCUAAGUUCUUCGAGAACUGCGUUAUUUUUGUUAUCAUACCCGUGGGCGUUUGCUCUAACUCACGGCUCUAUGGAGGCUCUGUAAACAGUUCUGAUGGGUAGGAACAGUCAACCUCGGUACGGCUAUAGCAAGCGAUUAUAACAUUGGCGAAGGGCAACUAAC